CAGCCGCCGCGGUAAUACGAAGGGGGCUAGCGUUGCUCGGAUUUACUGGGCGUAAAGGGCGCGUAGGCGGACAGUUAAGUCGGGGGUGAAAGCCCGGGGCUCAACCUCGGAAUUGCCUUCGAAACUGGCUGUCUUGAGUACGGGAGAGGUGAGUGGAACUCCGAGUGUAGAGGUGAAAUUCGUAGAUAUUCGGAAGAACACCAGUGGCGAAGGCGACUCACUGGCCCGUUACUGACGCUGAGGCGCGAAAGCGUGGGGAGCAAACAGGAUUAGAUACCCCAGUAGUCCCUGUCUCUUAUAC
rnacentral:rRNA from 1 species